rnacentral:rRNA from 1 species
AACGCGAAAGUGGGGGCAACCCUGCGAGUAGAGUGGCGAACGGGUGAGUAACACAUCGGAACGUACCCAGGAGUGGGGGACAACCUCGAGAAAUCGAGGCUAAUACCGCAUACGUCCUGAGGGAGAAAGCGGGGGAUUCGCAAGGACCUCGCGCUCAUGGAGCGGCCGAUGUCGGAUUAGCUAGUUGGCGGGGUAAAGGCCCACCAAGGCUACGAUCCGUAGCUGGUUUGAGAGAACGACCAGCCACACUGGGACUGAGACACGGCCCAGACUCCUACGGGAGGCAGCAGUGGGGAAUUUUGGACAAUGGGCGCAAGCCUGAUCCAGCCAUGCCGCGUGAGUGAAGAAGGCCUUCGGGUUGUAAAGCUCUUUCGGCCGGAACGAAAUCGCGUACGUGAAUAACGUGCGUGGAUGACGGUACUGGAAGAAGAAGCACCGGCUAACUACGUGCCAGCAGCCGCGGUAAUACGUAGGGUGCGAGCGUUGUUCGGAAUUACUGGGCGUAAAGCGCACGUAGGCGGGCUAUUAAGUCAGGGGUGAAAUCCCGGAGCUCAACUCCGGAACUGCCUUUGAUACUGGUAGUCUAGAGAUCGGAAGAGGUUAGUGGAAUUCCCAGUGUAGAGGUGAAAUUCGUAGAUAUUGGGAAGAACACCAGUGGCGAAGGCGGCUAACUGGUCCGAUACUGACGCUGAGGUGCGAAAGCGUGGGUAGCAAACAGGAUUAGAUACCCUGGUAGUCCACGCCCUAAACGAUGUCAACUAGGUGUUGGGUGGGUAAAA